UGGGGAAUCUUCCGCAAUGGACGAAAGUCUGACGGAGCAACGCCGCGUGAGUGAAGAAGGUUUUCGGAUCGUAAAACUCUGUCUUUUGGGGCGAACGUGAGUAUGGUGAACAAUCAUAGUCAGUGACGGUACCAAAGGAGGAAGCCACGGCUAACUACGUGCCAGCAGCCGCGGUAAUACGUAGGUGGCAAGCGUUGUCCGGAAUUAUUGGGCGUAAAGAGCGCGUAGGCGGGAUAGUCAGUCUGUUGUAAAAGUGCGGGGCUCAACCCCGUGAUGGCAAUGGAAACAGCUAUUCUUGAGUGCAGGAGAGGAAAGUGGAAUUCCCAGUGUAGCGGUGAAAUGCGUAGAUAUUGGGAGGAACACCAGUGGCGAAGGCGACUUUCUGGACUGUGUCUGACGCUGAGGCGCGAAAGCCAGGGGAGCGAACGGGAUUAGAUACCCCGGUAGUCCUGGCCGUAAACGAUGGGUACUAGGUGUGGGAGGUAUCGACCCCUUCCGUGCCGGAGUUAACGCAAUAAGUACCCCGCCUGGGGAGUACGGUCGCAAGACUGAAACUCAAAUGAAUUGACGGGGUCAUAGCUG
rnacentral:rRNA from 1 species